rnacentral:rRNA from 1 species
GCAACGCGAAGAACCUUACCUGGCCUUGACAUCCUGCGAACUUUCUAGAGAUAGAUGGGUGCCUUCGGGAACGCAGUGACAGGUGCUGCAUGGCUGUCGUCAGCUCGUGUCGUGAGAUGUUGGGUUAAGUCCCGCAACGAGCGCAACCCUUAUCCUCAGUUACCAGCACAUUAUGGUGGGCACUCUGGGGAGACUGCCGGUGACAAACCGGAGGAAGGUGGGGA